CGGCAAUGGAUAUUAGAAUGGAUAACAAAUGCUACAAAUUUUCAUGCCUUGCUUAUGGCUGUAGCUGUUUGGCACAUUUGGGAAAAUAGGAAUGCCUACCGUAAUGGUGAGGCCUUAGUUCAUCCUCUUGGUGUUGUGGGGAAGAUCAAAGUAUACAUGGAGUUCAUCAAUCUGCACGUUUUUAGACCGACUAUCUCCAUCAGACGUGAGAUUCUGAAGUCAAAUCAAAACUGGUCUCCGCCGCCGGAAGGGUCGAUGCUUGUCAAUGUGGAUGCAGCGAUAUUCUCUCGGUCCAAACAAGCAGGCUUUGGUGUGGUGAUACGUGGUCACCAGGGGAGGGUGCAGGUAGCCAGCAGAGGAUAUUUUGAUCGAAUUCAAAACCCGAAAAUUGCAGAAGCCAUGGCACUCCGUCAAGCCUUAAUCCUUGCAGGAGACACAAAUAUGGAGAGGAUCAUGGUGGCAUCAAACAGCUUGUCACUGAUUAACAGGAUCAAGGAUUCAGACUUGGACAGGACCCCUACAGGAGCCAUAGUUUACGACAUCAAGAAGUGGGCCACAAAGUUUAUAGCUUGUGCUUUUAUCCAUGUUAAUCGUGCUUGUAAUCAGGCAGCUCAUACUCUGGCCAAAUCAGCAGAGUAUGAUGUUAGAUCAUGUUGGUGUAGUGAGGUUUCUCUUGUAAUCAGGACCAUUGUUUGUAAUGAACAAGUUCAUGAAUAA
rnacentral:rRNA from 1 species